GCAGGGCCUGCUGUGCACUAGCAGCUCGGAGUUCAGCAGCCUCCACAUGCCCCGGAGACCUGCAACUGCGGCUCGUGAGCCGCCAGGCCACGCCCAGUCCCUGGCCUCCGUUGCUAGGGACUCGAUCCUGGCUGUUGCCAAGGCCACCGCUCCCAGGGAGUAGGCGGGGCGAGGGAACCGGGUUUAGGGUGGGGUAGUGGUGAAAGGGUUGGGAGUUGGGGGGAGAGGAAAGGAGAGGUGGUGCAAAAGGGCAAGAUCUCGCGAGGUCAGGCGAGAUCUCGUACGAAGACUCCGCCGGCGGUUGCUAGGAGACGUACUCCAUUUCCCUGGCGCCGGGAGAGAAGGGCCAGGGCGGUAUUUGCGCGUGUUUGACUGCAGGGGGGCCGAUUCGGAAGAAAGAUGGCACCUAAAAAGAAGGGAGGAGGAAAGAAGGGAAAAGCUAAACCUUCAGCAAUUGUCGAUGGCAUCCCACCGGAGGAUAUGAACAAGGAGCAGGUGGAGGAACACAUCAUGAGGAUCAGGGAGGAGCUGGACAGGGAAAGGGAGGAACGCAACUACUUUCAGCUGGAGCGAGACAAGAUCCACACCUUCUGGGACAUCACUCGGAGGCAGCUGGAGGAGAAGAAAGCAGAGCUCCGCAACAAGGACCGAGAGAUGGAGGAGGCCGAGGAGAGACAUCAAGUGGAGAUUAAAGUUUACAAACAGAAAGUGAAGCACUUGCUCUACGAGCACCAGAACAACCUGACCGAGAUGAAAGCCGAAGGGACGGUGUCCUUGAAGCUGGCGCAGAAGGAGCACCGGACCCAGGAGAACGAGAUGCGCAAGAACAUGCGCAACCUCAAGGUGGAGCUCAAGGAGCAGGAGCUGGCCAACGAGGUGGUGAUGAAAAACCUGCGCCUGAAACAUGAUGAGGAAAUCACUCGUAUGAGAAAUGACUUUGAGAGACAAGUACGAGAGAUUGAGGCCAAAUAUGAUAAGAAGAUGAAAAUGCUUCGAGAUGAGCUGGAUCUUCGGAGAAAGACAGAGAUCCAUGAGGUUGAGGAGAGGAAGAAUGGCCAAAUCAACACAUUGAUGAAGAACCACGAGAAGGCCUUCAGCGACAUCAAGAACUAUUACAAUGACAUAACCCUGAACAAUCUGGCUCUCAUCAACUCUCUCAAGGAGCAAAUGGAGGACAUGAAAAAGAAGGAGGACCAUUUAGAAAAGGAGAUGGCAGAAGUCAUGAUGCAGAACAAGAGGCUGGCGGAUCCUCUGCAGAAGGCCCGAGAAGAACUGAUAGAACUACAUAGGAAAUUGGUCAACUAUGAAAAGGAUAAACAGGCCCUGACUAGUACAAAAGCCCGUUUGAAAGUCACUGAGAAGGAUUUGAAAGACCUGCAGUGGGAGCACGAAGUGUUAGAGCAGCGGUUCAUCAAGGUACAAGUAGAACGAGAUGAUCUGUAUGCCAAGUUCAAUAAAGCCAUCCUAGAAGUACAGCAGAAAACUGGCUUCAAGAAUCUGAUCCUGGAGCGCAAGCUGGCAACCAUGGCAAAUGUGAUGGAGAGGAAGGAGGUGCAGCUGAAUGAAAUCCUCUCAGCCUCCAACCUUGACCCCGAAGCCCUGUCGGUGGUCUCCCGAAAACUGGAGGAUGUUCUGGAAUCUAAAAAUAAUGCUAUCAAGGAGCUGCAGUACGAGCUUGCCCGGGUUUGCAAGGCGCACAAUGACUUGUUGCGAACAUAUGAAGCCAAGCUCAUUGCCUUUGGAAUCCCUCUGGAUAACGUGGGGUUCAAGCCUCUGGAGACAUCAGUGGUAGGACAGGCCCUGGGGCAUGGCCCAGCCGGACUGGUGUCUACGCCUACGUAACCUGGAUGGACCUCCACCUGCCCUUCCCUCCCCAGCCACAGCCAUCGAGUAGGCCAGAUGCUGCCCAUGGCUGAGGAGCUGAAGCUGAGCCAAGCCUCCAGAGCUCCCUCUGUAGGUGGUGUAGGAGAACGGACUCAGCAGCAAGGGCACGUGGAACUUUUGGGCCUCGUUUGUGAUGCUGAAAACGACCUGAGAGAGAGAAGCAGUGGGCGGGCGGGAUGCAGGGCGCACAGACCCAGCGAUGAGAAAAUAGACAGCGGAGGCUUCUCAGGGCUUGGGCCCAGCGGGUUUGCUUGUGCCGUGGAUGUCCUCCCAAGCUCCCAGCCAGCUGGGCUGCGUAGUCCUAGGCUCAGAACCAGGACCCAACGCUGACCCGAGAUGUCUGUCUCUCUGAAGUUUCUGGUGUGGGAUUGGGAGCAAGAGGAAAGCCUGAAGAAAGAAAGUGCGAGACAAGACGGAGCUGAAGGAGUGAGAGGAACCUCGUUAUCUCCGGUGAUUAAAGGUGUCAAAUUCUGGCCGUAGAAACCUGUGCUUGUGCUUUACUGCUAAUAGUUAGGGAGAACUUGGUGUCCGAGAUGAGGUAGAACCUCCUCGGCCCGCUCCUCUCCUCUGGGGACAGAGUCCUCUUGUGCCAUUGGCCCUGGUGUCUGGCCUCGGCCCCCAGAGGGGGAUGGGUCUGCAAUGUUGCCCAGAAUUGUAGUUUUCCCAGGAAAUCUCCCCUAUUGAGUCACCGGCGAGGGUCCAGGGACGUUCCCACCCUCCGUGGUUCUGCGUUACUGCACCAGCCCGUUCCCUGGAUGCUGUCGGCUCCAUUCUCUGUUCAGAAUGUCCGGAGUAGAUGAACGUCCAGCCACUCAUUCUGUGGGGUCACGUUCCCUGCCAAGGGGCCGCUCCUCCAGGCAGAGCCUGCUUUGUGUCCCUCUUUGUACCCAGAACAGCGCCUGGCGUGUAAAUGCUUAAUAAAUGCUCGCUGAAUUACAUCGA